rnacentral:rRNA from 1 species
GACGAGCGCUGGCGGCGUGCUUAACACAUGCAAGUCGAGCGGUAAGGCCCUUCGGGGUACACGAGCGGCGAACGGGUGAGUAACACGUGGGUGAUCUACCCUGUACUUCGGGAUAAGCCUGGGAAACUGGGUCUAAUACCGGAUAUGACCUUCCGAUGCAUGUCGGUGGGUGGAAAGAUUUAUCGGUACAGGAUGGGCCCGCGGCCUAUCAGCUUGUUGGUGGGGUAAUGGCCUACCAAGGCGACGACGGGUAGCCGGCCUGAGAGGGCGACCGGCCACACUGGGACUGAGACACGGCCCAGACUCCUACGGGAGGCAGCAGUGGGGAAUAUUGCACAAUGGGCGAAAGCCUGAUGCAGCGACGCCGCGUGAGGGAUGACGGCCUUCGGGUUGUAAACCUCUUUCGACAGGGACGAAGCGCAAGUGACGGUACCUGUAGAAGAAGCACCGGCCAACUACGUGCCAGCCGCCGCAGUAAAAC